AUUGAACGCUGGCGGCAUGCCUUACACAUGCAAGUCGAACGGCAGCGCGGGGGCAACCUGGCGGCGAGUGGCGAACGGGUGAGUAAUAUAUCGGAACGUACCCUGGAGUGGGGGAUAACGUAGCGAAAGUUACGCUAAUACCGCAUACGCACUGAGGUGGAAAGCAGGGGAUCGCAAGACCUUGCGCUAUACGAGCGGCCGAUGUCAGAUUAGCUAGUUGGUAGGGUAAAGGCCUACCAAGGCGACGAUCUGUAGCGGGUCUGAGAGGAUGAUCCGCCACACUGGGACUGAGACACGGCCCAGACUCCUACGGGAGGCAGCAGUGGGGAAUAUUGGACAAUGGGCGGAAGCCUGAUCCAGCCAUGCCGCGUGUGUGAAGAAGGCCUUUUGGUUGUAAAGCACUUUAAGCGAGGAGGAGGCUACCUAGAUUAAUACUCUGGGAUAGUGGACGUUACUCGCAGAAUAAGCACCGGCUAACUCUGUG
rnacentral:rRNA from 1 species